rnacentral:rRNA from 1 species
GACGAACGCUGGCGGCGUGCUUAACACAUGCAAGUCGAACGGAAAGGCCUGCUUUCCCUUGUGGAUUGCGGGUACUCGAGUGGCGAACGGGUGAGUAACACGUGAGUGAUCUGCCCCCAACUUGGGUAUAAGCCUGGGAAACUGGGUCUAAUUCCCGAUAGGACUGCAGGGUGGUGCCUGUGGUGGAAAACGAUUUUCUAGUGGUUGGGGAUGAGCUCGCGGCCUAUCAGCUUGUUGGUGGGGUAAUGGCCUACCAAGGCGGCGACGGGUAGCCGGCCUGAGAGGGUGGACGGCCACAUUGGGACUGAGAUACGGCCCAGACUCCUACGGGAGGCAGCAGUGGGGAAUAUUGCACAAUGGGCGGAAGCCUGAUGCAGCAACGCCGCGUGGGGGAUGACGGCCUUCGGGUUGUAAACUCCUUUCGACCGCGAGGAAGCCACCUGGUUGGAAGGGUGGUGACGGUAGUGGUAGAAGAAGCACCGGCUAACUACGUG